CAAUAGCGUAUAUUUAAGUUGCUGCAGUUAAAAAGCUCGUAGUUGGAUUUCGGGUGGGAAUGGCCGGUCCGCCGUUUCGGUGUGCACUUGCUACGCCCACCUUGCUGCCGGGGACGUGCUCUUGAGUUCACGCUCGGGACACGGAGUCGGCGAGGUUACUUUGAGUAAAUUAGAGUGUUCAAAGCAGGCCUACGCUCUGAAUACAUUAGCAUGGAAUAACGCGAUAGGACUCUGGCCUAUCUUGUUGGUCUGUAGGACCGGAGUAAUGAUUAAGAGGGACAGUCGGGGGCAUUCGUAUUUCAUUGUCAGAGGUGAAAUUCUUGGAUUUAUGAAAGACGAACUACUGCGAAAGCAUUUGCCAAGGAUGUUUUCAUUAA
rnacentral:rRNA from 1 species